CAACCAUUCAGGCCCUUAGGGCCUGGCGUUGGGGCAUCUACGACCUGAAACCGUAGGCCCUGAAAGACAGUGGCGGCAUCCGCUAGCACUCCGGACGCAGUAGAUUUCCUUCUCGUUCAGGACGUCUUGCGGGCUGCCGGCCGUAAAACAGCCCCAAAAAUUACAAGG
rnacentral:misc_RNA from 1 species